UUUGUUACUGACGUAAUAACACUACAUAUUCCGCAUCCCAGGAGUGAUGUAUUUAGUUGUUGUAAACUCGAUUUCAGCCGACUGUAAAAUAAAAGUGAGAAUAAUACUUUGCUGAAAAAACAGCGCGCUCUUUGUGUUGGAACGAAAUUUAGACCAAACAUUCAAUAAAUCUACACGUUCCGGGAUUUUCAGUCAAAAUAUUUAUCCUCUGUUUACAAUCAGGUCUGCUAUAAAAACUUUUUUAAGCCGGUUAAACACCUGUAGAAUUUAUUAAUUGGGAAAUGGACCAAACCGACUUGCUUCCUCAAACACCAACAAUUUGCUGUGAAAGAGAUCGAACAGAAUAUAUAAUCCGAAUGGUUGAUUAGAAGCAAUGAUUCCAUUUCGUUGCACCUAAUCGAGUGAACAGAGUUAAUGUUUCAGGACGAGCUUCACAAAAUUCGCUUCAAAAGAAAAUGAAAUAUUCUCGAUCCAGAUGCUAUGUUUCUCGUCAACAAGACUCACAUUUCAGUAUUUACAAGGCAAACACGAGACCUCAAUAACACGUCAGAUGGCGCUCUUGGAAGUAUCUUACUUACAUACGGAAACGGAAGUACUCCACUGGAAUGAAUUCACCUUUUGUGAGGCCAGAAGUGAAAUUUACGCAUUGUUUUUCUUGAGAAUUAACAGAAUUGAAUUGUUUGAAUCUGGGAGUAAUAAGAGCGUUUCCAUGUACUGUACGUCGAGAGAUAUCAUCGCACAUUUAGUUGAAACGGCAAAUGAGUACAAAUUGCCUAAAUUUGUAUACAUGUUUCAUACAUAAUUACGAACGCUAGUAAAAAUAUAUUACGCAUAAUCAACACAUAAAAUGCUCGCCCCCAACAUGUAUUCAUGUAUAAAUUAGUAAAGUUCCAAAUUCAACAACAAGUCAUAAGCGCGCCUUAAUAAUAGAAGCCCGACAUUUUUUCAUUCAUCUUUCUAGCCUUUAAAAAACACAUUCACUCGCAUCAAAGAGACUAUUUUGCGUUUUAUACAGCCCAGCGCGAGUUAUCGCUUUUAGAGAGAAUAGAGUACUGCGGGUAAUUACAAAAAACAUGUUUAACAUGCUUUUAGUUGAAAUGUGGUGUUGGAUAAUGUUUAAAUUAAUUUUUUACGAACCAGUGUGGAUCCAAACAGAACAAAGCGAUUUUCUAUUCCGUUAAAAGUUAUGUUUGCAACUUUGAAAUUAUUUAAAAUUCCUGCGAGCGCAAUGUAGCGAUUAAACCGUCUCUAGCCAUUUUGUUACUUUGUCUAAUUACUCGAACGUUACGUGCGAUCAAAGCAAAUGAAAACCAAUCACGCCAAACUUUAAAAGUUGUGCAACUUUCAGUCGAAAAGUACUUGAUAUAAAUUAAAUUACGUCAUUUGACGUGUUUUAUAACACCGGCGUGGAAUACCGACUGAUGUUUUAAUUUCAGGAUGCUUCUGAAUGGAUUCACUGCAGUUGCACCGGCGAAAGGGGCAUUAAAGCCAUCGGAGUGGAGAUAACGAGCCGCAGCUUGUACCGAAAAAUAACCCGCAAUUGCCCAAUUUCUUAUCUUAACAUUUAUAAUUUUUUAAACUAGAAUGAUUUUAAACACUAAUGUUUGCCAAAGUUAAAAAGAAAAUGCCCUUGCCCGGCGCCUCCACCAUUAUGGCGGCUUUAAUUCCUGUUUGGUUUUAUUUGAGCCCCGCCUUGUUCUACUUUGAUCUGAAACAAUGACAUUGGCGAUUCAGGGAGCGUCGUGGAGUCGGUAAUUGCCAGCCGGCGGUAUUCCGCACGGUUUCUACUCAUCUCUCUUUUCGUUACUUACAGUAGCGCGUAUUUUAUUUAUUUAGUGAAUUUAAUUUUGCGACUUCAUUGGCAGAAGAAAGGCUGAAGGCCGCAAACUUGUUAAAUGAAUUUUAAAAGUUUGUUCUGUUGAUGUUUGGAAUGAUCUAAAUUGCGUUUAUUAAUUUUAACUCGGAACUUUUCGGAGGCGAUAAUUAGACGCAAUUUUUGGCAGAGGAUUAUCUAGUGGGGUCAGAAUGAAGUGGUAGUUCUUCUGGUGCUCUUUUCGGACGUGUUCGGAAUGAUCGCCUUUUAAGAUAAAUGGGGUGUGAUGGACAAUGGCGUGGAGUUAAUGACCACUAUGUCAUACAAAGACUGGUACACUGAAACAGCGUUCGAGGACUAAAUCCGUCAAUCAAGUUAUUAAUGUGCGAUUUAGUCGUCCAUUAGUUUGUAUAUUAUGUCGAGUUUCAUAUUUGUUAAUCGGCGAAAUUGUUAAUAAAUAUGUACAUUUCUA